UACGGAGGAUGCAAGCGUUAUCCGGAUUUAUUGGGUUUAAAGGGUGCGUAGGCGGGUUAUCAAGUCAGCGGUGAAAUUUUUCGGCUUAACCGUAAAAUUGCCGUUGAAACUGGUGAUCUUGAGUGCGAGCGAGGUAGGCGGAAUGUGCCGUGUAGCGGUGAAAUGCAUAGAUAUGGCACAGAACUCCGAUUGCGAAGGCAGCUUACUAGUACGCUACUGACGCUGAUGCACGAAGGCGUGGGGAUCAAACAGGAUUAGAUACCCUGGUAGUCCACGCAGUAAACGAUGAUUACUAGCUGUUUGCGAUAUACCGUAAGCGGCCGAGCGAAAGCAUUAAGUAAUCCACCUGGGGAGUACGUUCGCAAGAAUGAAACUCAAAGGAAUUGACGGGGGCCCGCACAAGCGGAGGAACAUGUGGUUUAAUUCGAUGAUACGCGAGGAACCUUACCCGGGCUUGAAAUGCAUCUGACCGAAGUGGAAACACUUUUUCUAGCAAUAGCAGAUGUGUAGGUGCUGCAUGGUU
rnacentral:rRNA from 1 species